rnacentral:rRNA from 1 species
AACGAACGCUGGCGGCAGGCUUAACACAUGCAAGUCGAGCGCCCCGCAAGGGGAGCGGCAGACGGGUGAGUAACGCGUGGGAAUCUACCCAUCUCUACGGAAUAACGCAUGGAAACGUGUGCUAAUACCGUAUACGUCCUUCGGGAGAAAGAUUUAUCGGAGAUGGAUGAGCCCGCGUUGGAUCAGCUAGUUGGUGGGGUAAAGGCCUACCAAGGCGACGAUCCAUAGCUGGUCUGAGAGGAUGAUCAGCCACACUGGGACUGAGACACGGCCCAGACUCCUACGGGAGGCAUCAGUGGGGAAUAUUGGACAAUGGGCGCAAGCCUGAUCCAGCCAUGCCGCGUGAGUGAUGAAGGCCCUAGGGUUGUAAAGCUCUUUCACCGGUGAAGAUAAUGACGGUAACCGGAGAAGAAGCCCCGGCUAACUUCGUGCCAGCCGCCGCCGUAA